UACGGGAGGCAGCAGUGGGGAAUAUUGCACAAUGGGCGCAAGCCUGAUGCAGCCAUGCCGCGUGUAUGAAGAAGGCCUUCGGGUUGUAAAGUACUUUCAGUCGUGAGGAAGGUGUUAAGGUUAAUAACCUUAGCAAUUGACGUUAGCGACAGAAGAAGCACCGGCUAACUCCGUGCCAGCAGCCGCGGUAAUACGGAGGGUGCGGGCGUUAAUCGGAAUUACUGGGCGUAAAGGGCACGCAGGCGGUUAAUUAAGUUGGAUGUGAAAUCCCCGGGCUUAACCUGGGAAUGGCAUUCAAGACUGGUUAGCUAGAGUCUUGUAGAGGGGGUAGAAUUCCAUGUGUAGCGGUGAAAUGCGUAGAGAUGUGGAGGAAUACCGGUGGCGAAGGCGGCCCCUGGACAAAGACUGACGCUCAUGUGCGAAAGCGUGGGGAGCAAACAGGGAUUAGAUACCCGU
rnacentral:rRNA from 1 species